rnacentral:lncRNA from 1 species
UUUUUAUGGCAAAAAUGCGAUAGAGUUAGAAUCGCAAUUUCAUGUAUUUAAACUGGCAUUUUCAAAUAUUUAAUAUGAAUUACACAGGAUUUUGGUCAAUAUUUCAAAAAUUAAAAUCACACUUUAAAAAUGCAAAAAUUAUAAUCAAUAAGAAAUGCAAGCAUUAAUUUCUGAAUUAACAGUAUAUACCGGUAAAUGAAAAUAACAUUGUACAUACAUUGGUGUACUGAUAAAUAAGGAAGUAUACCUACUAUAAAAAACAUUGUAGUCAGAUUUAUGUAUCAUUAUAUAUGUAUGUAAAGGAAUUGACGUUGAUGUAAUAAUAAUAAA